GGAUUGUGGCUCAGUGGCAGAGCACUUGCCUAGCACGUGUGAGGCACUGGGUUCGAUUCUCAGCACCA
rnacentral:tRNA from 1 species